GGUGGCGCGCGCCUGUAGUCCCUGAUACUCAGGAGGCUGAGACAGGAGAAUCGCUUGAACCCGGGAGGCGGAGGUUGCAGUAAGCCCAGAUCUCGCCACUGCACUCCAGCCUGGGGGACAGAGGGAGACUCUGUCUCAAAAAAAAAAAAAAAAAAAAAGAAAAGAAAAGAAAAGAAAGUCCCAGGAGUCUGCCCCCCUCCCCCAAUACUCCUCCACUCCUUCAAUUCUAGCUUCCCUCGUUUCUUUGCUGUGUCACCCUGGGCAAGUCACUUUCCCUCUUUGAGUCUCCUUUUCAUUUCUCUAUUAAAUAGCAAUCAUAGGGCCAGGAGAGGUGGUUUGCACCUGUCAUCCCAGCAU
rnacentral:lncRNA from 1 species